UACGUAGGGUGCGAGCGUUAAUCGGAAUUACUGGGCGUAAAGCGUGCGCAGGCGGUUUUGUAAGCCAGAUGUGAAAUCCCCGGGCUUAACCUGGGAACUGCAUCCGAUACUGGAUGGCUUGAAUUCGGGAGAGGGAUGCAGAAUUCCAGGUGUAGCGGUGAAAUGCGUAGAUAUCUGGAGGAAUACCGGUGGCGAAGGCGGCAUCCUGGACCGACAUUGACGCUGAGGAGCGAAAGCUAGGGGAGCAAACGGG
rnacentral:rRNA from 1 species